rnacentral:rRNA from 1 species
GACGAACGCUGGCGGCGUGCUUAACACAUGCAAGUCGAACGGAAAGGCCCUGCUUUUGUGGGGUGCUCGAGUGGCGAACGGGUGCGUAACACGUGAGUAACCUGCCCUAGAUUUUGGGAUAACUUCAGGUAACUGGGGCUACUACCGGAUAGCAGCUCCUGCUGCAUGGUGGGGGGUGGAAAGUUGCGGCGGUUGUGGAUGGACUGGCGGCUUAUCAGCUUGCUGGUGGGGUAGUGGCUUACCAAGGCUUUGACGGGUAGCCGGCCUGAGAGGGUGACCGGCGACAUUGGGACUGAGAUACGGCCCAGACUCGUACGGGAGGCAGCAGUGGGGAGUAUUGCACAGUGGGCGGAAGCCUGAUGCAGCAACGCCGCGUGCGGGAUGACGGCCUUCGGGUUGUAAACCGCUUUCGCCUGUGACGAAGCGGGAGUGACGGUAAUGGGUAAAGAAGCACCGGCUAACUACGUG